rnacentral:rRNA from 1 species
ACGCUGGCGGCGUGCCUAAUACAUGCAAGUAGAACGCUGAAGGAGGAGCUUGCUUCUCCGGAUGAGUUGCGAACGGGUGAGUAACGCGUAGGUAACCUGCCUGGUAGCGGGGGAUAACUAUUGGAAACGAUAGCUAAUACCGCAUAACAGUAGAUGUUGCAUGACAUUUGCUUAAAAGGUGCAAUUGCAUCACUACCAGAUGGACCUGCGUUGUAUUAGCUAGUUGGUGGGGUAACGGCUCACCAAGGCGACGAUACAUAGCCGACCUGAGAGGGUGAUCGGCCACACUGGGACUGAGACACGGCCCAGACUCCUACGGGAGGCAGCAGUAGGGAAUCUUCGGCAAUGGACGGAAGUCUGACCGAGCAACGCCGUGUGAGUGAAGAAGGUUUUCGGAUCGUAAAGCUCUGUUGUAAGAGAAGAACGAGUGUGAGAGUGGAAAGUUCACGCUGUGACGGUAUCUUACCAGAAAGGGACGGCUAACUACGUGCCAGCAGCCGCGGUAAUACGUAGGUCCCGAGCGUUGUCCGGAUUUAUUGGGCGUAAAGCGAGCGCAGGCGGUUAGAUAAGUCUGAAGUUAAAGGCUGUGGCUUAACCAUAGUACGCUUUGGAAACUGUUUAACUUGAGUGCAAGAGGGGAGAGUGGAAUUCCAUGUGUAGCGGUGAAAUGCGUAGAUAUAUGGAGGAACACCGGUGGCGAAAGCGGCUCUCUGGCUUGUAACUGACGCUGAGGCUCGAAAGCGUGUGGAGCAAACAGGAUUAGAUACCCUGGUAGUCCACGCCGUAAACGAUGAGUGCUAGGUGUUAGACCCUUUCCGGGGUUUAGUGCCGCAGCUAACGCAUUAAGCACUCCGCCUGGGGAGUACGACCGCAAGGUUGAAACUCAAAGGAAUUGACGGGGGCCCGCACAAGCGG